rnacentral:rRNA from 1 species
UGGGGAAUUUUGGACAAUGGGCGAAAGCCUGAUCCAGCAAUGCCGCGUGUGUGAAGAAGGCCUUCGGGUUGUAAAGCACUUUUGUCCGGAAAGAAAUCCUUGGCUCUAAUACAGUCGGGGGAUGACGUACCGGAAGAAUAAGCACCGGCUAACUACGUGCCAGCAGCCGCGGUAAUACGUAGGGUGCAAGCGUUAAUCGGAAUUACUGGGCGUAAAGCGUGCGCAGGCGGUUUGCUAAGACCGAUGUGAAAUCCCCGGGCUCAACCUGGGAACUGCAUUGGUGACUGGCAGGCUAGAGUAUGGCAGAGGGGGGUAGAAUUCCACGUGUAGCAGUGAAAUGCGUAGAGAUGUGGAGGAAUACCGAUGGCGAAGGCAGCCCCCUGGGCCAAUACUGACGCUCAUGCACGAAAGCGUGGGGAGCAAAACAGGAUUAGAUACCCUGGUAGUCCACGCCCUAAACGAUGUCAACUAGUUGUUGGGGAUUCAUUUCCUUAGUAACGUAGCUAACGCGUGAAGUUGACCGCCUGGGGAGUACGGUCGCAAGAUUAAAACUCAAAUGAAUU